rnacentral:tRNA from 1 species
GGGGAUUUAGCUCAGUGGUGUAAGCGCCUGCCUGGCAAGCACAAAGUCAUGAAUUCAAUCCCCA